UCUCCGUUGGUGAACCAGCGGAGGGAUCAUUACUGAGUCUACGAACUCCCAACCAUUGUGAACAUACCACUGUUGCUUCGGCGGCCGCGCCCCGGGACGACCUUGUCCCGGACCCAGGCGCCCGCCGGAGGCCCUAAACUCCACUGUAACUACUGUAUACAUCUGAGUGGCAUAAGCAAAUAAAUCAAAACUUUCAGCAACGGAUCUCUUGGUUCUG
rnacentral:misc_RNA from 1 species